rnacentral:rRNA from 1 species
AGCGAACGCUGGCGGCAGGCCUAACACAUGCAAGUCGAACGAACCCUUCGGGGUUAGUGGCGGACGGGUGAGUAACACGUGGGAAUCUGCCCUUGGGUUCGGGAUAACAGUUGGAAACGACUGCUAAUACCGGAUGAUGACUUCGGUCCAAAGAUUUAUCGCCCAGGGAUGAGCCCGCGUCGGAUUAGCUAGUUGGUGAGGUAAAGGCUCACCAAGGCGACGAUCCGUAGCUGGUCUGAGAGGAUGACCAGCCACACUGGGACUGAGACACGGCCCAGACUCCUACGGGAGGCAGCAGUGGGGAAUAUUGGACAAUGGGCGAAAGCCUGAUCCAGCAAUGCCGCGUGAGUGAUGAAGGCCCUAGGGUUGUAAAGCUCUCUUACCCGGGAUGAUAAUGACGGUACCCGCAGAAUAAGCUCCGGCUAACUUCGUGCCAGCCGCCGCGGUAACAC